GAUGAACGCUGGCGGCGUGCCUAAUACAUGCAAGUCGAGCGAACAGACGAGGAGCUUUCUCCUCUGACGUUAGCGGCGGACGGGUGAGUAACACGUGGAUAACCUACCUAUAAGACUGGGAUAACUUCGGGAAACCGGAGCUAAUACCGGAUAAUAUAUUGAACCGCAUGGUUCAAUAGUGAAAGACGGUUUUGCUGUCACUUAUAGAUGGAUCCGCGCCGCAUUAGCUAGUUGGUAAGGUAACGGCUUACCAAGGCAACGAUGCGUAGCCGACCUGAGAGGGUGAUCGGCAACACUGGAACUGAGACACGGUCCAGACGCCUACGGGAGGCAGCAGUGGGGAAUAUUGGACAAUGGGCGAAAGCCUGAAAGAGCCAUGCAGCGUGGGAGAAGAAGGUCUUAGGAUUGUAAAGACCUGUUAGUGGGGAAGAACAAAAGUAAAAUAAGAUAGGGACGGCUUGACGGUACCAAAACAGAAAGAAACGGCUAACUUCGUG
rnacentral:rRNA from 1 species